GACGACGCUGGGCGGCGUGGAUUAGGCAUGCAAGUCGAACGGUAUCAUCCGUUUCGGGGGUGAGAGAGUGGCGAACUGGUGAGUAACACGUAGGUUAUCUACCCUCAAGACGGGGACAACCCAGGGAAACUUGGGCUAAUACCGGAUGUGAGCAACUUUUAGUUGUUUGAAAGGUGGCGUAAGCUGUCGCUUGGGGAUGAGCCUGCGUCCUAUUAGUUAGUUGGUGAGGUAACGGCUCACCUAGGCAAUGAUAGGUAGGCGGCCUUAACGGGUGGUCGCCCACACUGGGAUUGAGAUACGGCCCAGACUCCUACGGGAGGCAGCAGUGAGGAAUAUUGGUCAAUGGACGCAAGUCUGAACCAGCCAUGCCGCGUGCAGGAUGACGGCCCUAUGGGUUGUAAACUGCUUUUCCACGGGAAGAACCCUCCGACGUGUCGGAGACUGACGGUACCGUGGGAAUAAGCAUCGGCUAACUCCGUG
rnacentral:rRNA from 1 species